GCACCCUUAUAUUUGACGUUUCUUGCUGCAGCAUAAAUUUACAUACGGAUAUGCGUGCGUUUGUGUGAGUGUCAAUAAUAUGAGUAAAGAAACAGAUGAUCGUUGUAAUGUUGUAUUUGUUGUUUGUUUACUAAGUACAUAAGCGAUGUAAAGUCUCCAUCAUGGAAUAUGUGUAGUUUGUUGCGCUAUUAAGUCAAGUUAUCCGUUUAUGUUCUCCGGAGGAGAUUGAAUUUGUAGUGAUACUUACCGACUCUUGCUCAUCACCAGAGGCGAAGCUAGGGAGUGUUUGGGAAAGUGGAAAACUAAAUUGU